AGGAAUGUAUAGCAAUAGCUACUUACAUUAUAGUAAUAAUGAUGUAAGAUCGAUAGAGUCGAAUAAAGUUCUAGGCAUAAUUUUGAUAAUGACAUUAUAUGCCUAUGUGUCUUGACCAAUUACGUGCCAGCAGUCGCGGUAAUACGUAUGAGGCUAGCGUUAUUCAUGUUUAAUCGGUUUAAAGGGUACCUAGACGGCAGAUCAAGCUUAUGAAAAAAGGACUAAUCUGCUAGAGUUACUAGUGAGGGGGCUAUAAAGUACUGCUGGUGUAGGGAUGAAAUAUUUUGAUACCUAAAAAAUUAUGGCACAGGUAUAGGCGAAGGCAUCCCCUUAUGAGAUAACUGACGUUCAGGGACGAAGGCUUCGGACCACGAACAGGAUUAGAGACCCUGGUAGUUGAAGCAGUAAACUAUGAGUGUCAUAGAGUAGAUAUAUAAGUUUAUUCUAUAAAUGAAAGUGUAAGCAUUCCACCUCAAGAGUAAUUUGGCAACAUUGGAACUGAAAUCAUUAGACCGUUUCUGAAAUUAGUAGUGAAGUAUGUUGUUUAAUUUGAUAAUCCGCAAAGAACCUUACCACAAUUUGAAUAUUUACAUUGUUUAUUGUUAUCUCAUUAGUUUCCUUUUUUAUAUGAAGUAAAAUUAAUGUUGAAGCAAUAACGUGUACUUACAAGCGUUGCACGGCUGUCGUCAGUUGAUGUCGCGAGACUGUGGUUUACUCCACCAAUCAACGUAAACCCUCGCUUUAUUUUUAAAUAAAGCAGAUAAUCACCGAUAUGGUGGUG
rnacentral:rRNA from 1 species